rnacentral:rRNA from 1 species
AGAGUGAACGCUGGCGGUAGGCCUAACACAUGCAAGUCGAACGGCAGCACAGGAGAGCUUGCUCUCUGGGUGGCGAGUGGCGGACGGGUGAAGAAUACAUCGGAAUCUACCUUUUCGUGGGGGAUAACGUAGGGAAACUUACGCUAAUACCGCAUAAGACCUUCGGGUGAAAGCCGGGGACCUUCGGGCCUGGCGCGGAUAGAUGAGCCGAUGUCGGAUUAGCUUGUUGGCGGGGUAAAAGCCCACCAAGGCGACGAUCCGUAGCUGGUCUGAGAGGAUGAUCAGCCACACUGGAACUGAGACACGGUCCAGACU